rnacentral:lncRNA from 1 species
UUGGAGAUAAAUCUAAUUUUGCUUGAUAGAGAUUGUGGUGAUAGAGGAGAAGUGUGCACAAUUACAGGUGGAGUCACGGAAUUGAGAAUUGCAGGGAUAGCAGUGUUUCUUCGGGCAGCUCUUCAUAGAGUGUCAAAGGUGACAACUCAAGUUCGGUGUACAUGGAAGUUCAUGCAUAACGGCUUCAAAAUGGUGGAAUAUUCGCUAAGGUGGAGUUUGUUAGAUAUUGUGUCGAAUAUUUGUGCGAGUCCGGUUACGAGGGGACUUGAGUUGUAUUUAGUAGUAUAGGAUAGAGUUCGUGUCAUACUCUAUAACCCGAGCUUCCUCAUAAAUAUGAGAGGAGGGCUGUUGUUAUAACCAUGAUGACAUAGAGACAAGCUCGCAUGGGGGAGAUGGCAUGAUGCCGGUGUCAGUGUUUUAUACCCGGCAACCUACCGAGAGUAUCCCGAGGUAGUAGAUUGGUUGGUGGGGGAUUGUCGGACCUGAAACUUGAAGGUAAAAGCGAGGAUACAAGACACAAUUUUUAUACAGGUUCGAGCCAUAAGAGUAGCGUAAUACCCUACGUCCUAUUUGGGGUGUUGUAUAUUGCGCGUUGUGCUUGGGUGUUGUUUGUGUUGCGUAUUUGGUCCUCUGUUGUGGUUCUAGGAGGUCUUCGCCUACCGAUCUAGGGACCCCUGCCCUCCUUUGUAUACUCCAGCGGGUGGGAUUACUAGUCAGUUAGAAUGUAUGAGUGCUAGUAGGAUUACAGGUGAAUCCUAGUAGGAAUCUGUCUUCUUCCUUCCUUGCGAGUACUAGGGAUCUAUCCCCGAAAAGCUUUCGAGCGUUUCAUAGCUGAAUGUAGCAGUCUUCGAGUACUUUUUAGAUCCUCGCCAGUAGUUUAGUGCUCCUCAAGUACUUUGUCUGGCUGAAUCUUCAAAGUUCCUCAAAGCUACCAUGAGGCUAUGGUGUGCUCAAGCCCUUGAUAGUCUUGAUUUUGUAAUCAUCAUCUUAGGAUUGUGAUAUGAAGGGCGGCGAAAGUCACACUCCAUAUGGAGUAGCCCCCGAGCCUUAGGUUGAAUCGAAGAAUUAGGCUGAGGGUCAACAGAAUCUUGAAUCCUUUUUCUUUAUCUUGAAAAAAUCAACUGUUGGGUGUAGUUUAUCAGCCCUCGAGCCUUGGAAUGAUUAAAUAAUCAAUUUGAUGGUCUCGAGAGUAGUUUUGCGGUGUCAUACAAGUCAUCAUUUGAGUAGUUUUGCGGUGCCCAGCCCUCGAGCUUAUGAGCCAGGUGAGCCGUAGAAGCCACGUUGAGUAGUUAUUUGGCGCUUAGCCCCAAAGCUUGGAAGCUAGCUAAGCCACUGGAGGUACGUUGAGCGUCUUGGAGAGUCGUCG